CCGCGCGGGCGGGCGCGUCCCCUGGGCGGGUCACCGCGGGCCGGUCCCGGGGGCGCCUGCCGCGCUCUCCCCUGCCGGAGCCGCGUCCCUCUCCGGGCCGAGAAGCGGGCUGAGGACUGGACCUGGCACAUCGUGGCCUCCCAGGAGAUGUUUGCUGAGGAAAGUAAUUACGAAAAAGAGAAGAAAUGCACAGGAAAGAGAAAAAAGAAAAACCGUUUUACCAGCCCCGGACAAACUCAGCUGAGAAACUGCUCCCCAUUUUCACCCCCAUGAUUUAUAAUUAUACUCUGUCCUUAAUUGUG